CCGGACGCACGGGUGAGUAACACGUGAGUGACCUGCCUUUUAGACUGGAACAACUUACCGAAAGGUGAGCUAAUGCCGGAUGGGUUAUAUAAGUGCAUGUUUAUAUAGGAAAAGUUGGGGAGACCUGACGCCGAAAGAUGGACUCGCGUCCCAUUAGCUAGUUGGUAGGGUAAUGGCCUACCAAGGCGACGAUGGGUAGCCGGCCUGAGAGGGUGGCCGGCCACACUGGGACUGAGACACGGCCCAGACUCCUACGGAAGGCAGCAG
rnacentral:rRNA from 1 species